rnacentral:rRNA from 1 species
UACGUAGGGACCAAGCGUUGUUCGGAUUUACUGGGCGUAAAGGGUGCGUAGGCGGCUUUGUAAGUCAGUGGUGAAAUAUGGCAGCUCAACUGUCAAGGUGCCAUUGAUACUGCGGAGCUUGAGUACAGAUGAGGUAGGCGGAAUUGACGGUGUAGCGGUGAAAUGCUUAGAUAUCGUCAAGAACACCUAUAGCGAAGGCAGCUUACUAGGCUGUAACUGACGCUGAGGCACGAAAGUGUGGGGAUCAAACAGG